UUUUGAUUUCAUAUAAUACUCAUGAUUUUCUAGGGGUGUGAAUUUCUGACACGACACGAAAACACGACACGAACCUAACACAAAAUUCAUGGGUUUGGGUUUAGCCUAAACGGGUUCGGGUCAGAUUCAGGUUGAACCUGCGAGCCCGUUUACCUAAACGGGUCAGGUUCGGGUCAAAUCAGUCGGGUUGGCGGGUUGACCCGUUUAGCCCAUUUCUAUUAUAUUAUAUUUUAAAAUAUGUUUUAUAUCAUAAAUUAAACUGAGUGUGUAUUUUAUGCUAUAAAUAUAACUUAAAAAUGGAAGUUGAGAAAAAAUUUUAUGAUUUUAAUGUAAUUUUAUUAUAUAAAUUUUAGUGUUAAUUUUAAUAUAUUAAUUUGCUGA
rnacentral:lncRNA from 1 species